rnacentral:snRNA from 1 species
AUACUUACCUGACGAGGACCAUACUGGGAUCAGGCAGCCAGUGGGUCCAGGGCGAGGCUUUGCCAUUGCACAUCGGCUUAGCUGACCCUUGCGAUUACCCCAAAUGGUAAAUCAUAUGUGGGU